rnacentral:rRNA from 1 species
AUUGAACGCUGGCGGCAGGCCUAACACAUGCAAGUCGAGCGGCAGCGGGAAAGUAGCUUGCUACUUUUGCCGGCGAGCGGCGGACGGGUGAGUAAUGCCUGGGAAAUUGCCCAGUCGAGGGGGAUAACAGUUGGAAACGACUGCUAAUACCGCAUACGCCCUACGGGGGAAAGCAGGGGACCUUCGGGCCUUGCGCGAUUGGAUAUGCCCAGGUGGGAUUAGCUAGUUGGUGAGGUAAUGGCUCACCAAGGCGACGAUCCCUAGCUGGUCUGAGAGGAUGAUCAGCCACACUGGAACUGAGACACGGUCCAGACUCCUACGGGAGGCAGCAGUGGGGAAUAUUGCACAAUGGGGGAAACCCUGAUGCAGGCAUGCCGCGUGUGUGAAGAAGGCCUUCGGGUUGUAAAGCACUUUCAGCGAGGAGGAAAGGUUGAUGCCUAAUACGUAUCAACUGUGACGUUACUCGCAGAAGAAGCACCGGCUAACUCCGUGCCAGCAGCCGCAGUAA